rnacentral:tRNA from 1 species
GGAGAGAUGUCCGAGUUGGUCUAAGGAGCAUGCCUGGAGAGCAUGUAGGGGCCAAAAGCUCCUCCUGGGUUCGAAUCCCAGUCUCUCCG